rnacentral:rRNA from 1 species
UCGGGAAUUUUGGGCAAUGGGGGAAACCCUGACCCAGCAACGCCGCGUGAAGGAUGAAGUAUUUCGGUAUGUAAACUUCGAAAGAAUAGGAAGAAUAAAUGACGGUACUAUUUAUAAGGUCCGGCUAACUACGUGCCAGCAGCCGCGGUAAUACGUAGGGACCAAGCGUUGUUCGGAUUUACUGGGCGUAAAGGGCGCGUAGGCGGCAUGACAAGUCACUUGUGAAAUCUCUGGGCUUAACCCAGAACGGCCAAGUGAUACUGUCGCGCUAGAGUGCAGAAGGGGCAAUCGGAAUUCUUGGUGUAGCGGUGAAAUGCGUAGAUAUCAAGAGGAACACCUGAGGUGAAGACGGGUUGCUGGGCUGACACUGACGCUGAGGCGCGAAAGCCAGGGGAGCAAACGGGGAUUAGAUACCCCUGUAGUCCCUGAGCGGGCUGGCAAGGCGCAU